UACGUAGGGGGCAAGCGUUGUCCGGAUUUAUUGGGCGUAAAGAGCGUGUAGGCGGCCAUGUAGGUCCGUUGUGAAAACUCGAGGCUCAACCUCGAGACGCCGAUGGAAACCAUGUGGCUAGAGUCCGGAAGAGGAGAGUGGAAUUCCUGGUGUAGCGGUGAAAUGCGCAGAUAUCGGGAGGAACACCGGUGGCGAAGGCGGUUCUCUGGGCCUGUACUGACGCUGAGGAGCGAAAGCGUGGGGAGCGAACAGG
rnacentral:rRNA from 1 species